UGAAAGUGGAUGCCUUGUCCUGAGUUGCCCAUUGACUGUAGCAUUGCUUGAGGUGGUCCAGGGGUCCUCCUACAUUGAGCUCAUUGCUAAAUUUAGGCUUAUACCAUUUAAUCUCAAAUAUAAUGUACACUUUUUUCCAAAUUUUUUGGGUCAAAGUUGGGGUGCACAUUAUAUAUAGGAAUUAUUGUGUAAAUUUUGAUUUUGGCAGUUCCAUGUCAGAAGACGAUGAAUCUCCGCUAUGCUGUGCCACGCUAAGACAGCAGUAAACAUGAAGUCAACAUCAACUGAAAUGUGGAUGCUGAAAUUUCUUGUGGCUGGACGGUGGUUGGGUCAGGAGCUGAAAUCAUUGAAAGCUGAAGUCAUUCAUGGCAGUACUGGGUUUUUAUCCAGAGUCAAAAAUCCAUCUUGAGCAGUGAGCGGAGUGGUGGCAGACUACAGUGAGUAACCAGUUCCUUUUCUACACUCAAACUCUGUGCUUGUGAGUGUGGCAGUAUUGCCUUUCAGAGAUGCCCAGAGUGGUGUGUGAAUUUCUCAAGUGACUGGGUUGGGGAUGAAUUCAUUUCUGAAUUGAAUGGAUGAAGGAGAACACUUAGACAUUGAACCCAGCCCUGGCUACUACUGGCUCCACCUGGAAGAAGGGAGAUCACAAAAGCUAAAAUUUUACAAAAGCCUGAAUUCCAGCUCAGGCCACCACAGCACUCGGCACCAUGGAGCCGGAGCUGCCCCUGGGCACUAUGAUGCUCAUUUUGGACACAUUGCUGCAAACCUGGCUGCACUUUCUGCAGGCUGCCUCGCAGCAGCUGCUGCAGCCCAACCCCCAUGCCCUCCUCGGGACCCUCCUGAAGGACGGGGAAGAGCAGCUGCAGCUCCUGAAUGCCAGUGUACCCUGUCACAUCUGGCAUCUGGACACCAGCAGUGACCGGUGGGACCACGUUGUCCUGGAGUGCUGGGGAGAUCAACAUGAGGCCCUCCAUUUCCCCACCACAAGUGUGUGGCCAUCAGCCUAUGGAAGCUUUCCACACCAUAUAGCUACUGAUCCAUGGCAAACCAGUUCGGCGUGGGGAGAUCCACCAUCAGAGCAGUGCUCAUGC